rnacentral:sRNA from 1 species
UUUAUUUUUUGUCGUUUUUAUUUUUUUAAUUAUAUCGACCGAUUUUUAAUUAAAUUUAAUAUUAUAUUUAAUAAUUUUACGUUUUUUUUGGUUUUCUUUGUUUUUUUCGCGCCGUUAAUAAUUUUUUAAUUUUUAAAAAAAUCUUUUUUUAUCGGUUUAUAAUUUAUUUUUUAUCUCGGUUAUUUAAAUUUUUAUUUGGUAGGAAAACAAAUUGCGGUUAAUUAUUUGGAAAUUUGUUUUAAUAUAAGUUUGUUUUUGGAACGUUAUACUAAAUAUAAGUAAAAAUAUUUGUGCAAAUUAAUAUAAAAUAUUUUUAUAAUAAUUUUUUUAAAGUUUUUUUUUGCAACGUUUUUUUAACGUUUUUCCAAUUCGAUAAUUAUUUUUAAAUUUAUAAUAUUAUUUUUCCGCGAUUAUAAUUUAUAUAUUGUUAAAAAUUAUUCAAAAACGAAAUAAAAACCGGCCGUAAUAAUAAUAUCGGAAUAAUUAUUAUAAUAUUUCGCAAACGCAAAAACGACGUUUUACCGUUUAAAAUCCCAAUUACCACUAUUAUUAUAAAUUCUUUUUCCCUGAACGUUUUUUUUGCGUUUUUCAAAAUUAAUAAACGUUUUUAGAAAUUUCGAUUAUUAACGUAUUAUUAUUAAACAUAUAUUUUUAAUUAUUAUUUAUAAAACAAAUAUAUUUUCAAACGACGAUUUUGAAUUUUUUUCGUCGGCGGAACGUCGUUCCGCGGGUUAUACCGUAAUAAUUUGUUAAUUUAAUAUUUUAUAAAUUGAAA